ensembl:lncRNA
CUCCGAAGCAGCUGUUUUAGGGUUUGAAAUUCCAACAUGGCAGUGGCUGUGGUCAGUGUUGCCUGCGCUAACUUGGAAUGGUUUUAAAUCGCAGGCAGCCUCGCUUAACCCACCGCACACUCAUUCAUCAGCAAGCUCUACCGUGGAUCGAUGUUGCUCUAACCCCAGAGGUCGACCUGUCGCACAUACAGCGAGACAUGAUCAGUAGCAGCAGCGUCUAUGCGAGCGAGGAAUGACCCCAAGGGAGCCUGGCUCAUGCAAAUCCCCCUCUCUCUCUCUCUCUCGCUCUCUCUCUCUCUCCAAAAACUAGUCCCUAGACUUGUGGCAGCUGGCUAUGUUGUCUUUGUGCGUGUCUCUCUGUGUGUGCUGACAACCCUCUCAGUGAUCUAAGUUAGAGAGGCACACAGCGCUGGAAACGGGAGGCAGCUGUCUGUUGCUAUACUGUCUGCGAGACGAAGAAGCAUUCGUUCUACUGCUGCAAAGAUGAACGGCCGCCAAUCCGUAAAUCCUUGACAUCCAGCCUGCCCCUCCUCGCUCUCCUCCUGCACCCCCUCCUCAUCUUCCUCCUCCUUCAUUUCUUUGGAUCCGUCUGUCAGCUCUGGCUGUCUGUUUAGAUGUUUUUGUGUGUUUGGUGUUCCCCUGACUGACAGUGUAUGGGCAAAGGCAUUCUUUUGGAAAGUAUGAUAGUCCCAGAGACAAACGCCUAAAUCCUUCCUCUAGCCAUUUGAACGGUGAUCUGUUUAUUCUUCCCCUCUGUCAUCAUACUGUUAUCAUUCUGAGUGCUGACAGCCCUGUGUCUUGUGGGGGUUUAGGAGUGAAAGAGGCCUCCUGAUGUACAGUAUCUGGUUUAGUACAGUAAUACUUGUUACUGUAUCUGUAUAGGCUGGG